AGUCAGAGGCGAUGAAGGACGUGCUAAUCUGCGAUAAGCGUCGGUAAGGUGAUAUGAACCGUUAUAACCGGCGAUUUCCGAAUGGGGAAACCCAGUGUGUUUCGACACACUAUCAUUAACUGAAUCCAUAGGUUAAUGAGGCGAACCGGGGGAACUGAAACAUCUAAGUACCCCGAGGAAAAGAAAUCAACCGAGAUUCCCCCAGUAGCGGCGAGCGAACGGGGAGCAGCCCAGAGCCUGAAUCAGUGUGUGUGUUAGUGGAAGCGUCUGGAAAGGCGCGCGAUACAGGGUGACAGCCCCGUACACAAAAAUGCACAUGCUGUGAGCUCGAUGAGUAGGGCGGGACACGUGGUAUCCUGUCUGAAUAUGGGGGGACCAUCCUCCAAGGCUAAAUACUCCUGACUGACCGAUAGUGAACCAGUACCGUGAGGGAAAGGCGAAAAGAACCCCGGCGAGGGGAGUGAAAAAGAACCUGAAACCGUGUACGUACAAGCAGUGGGAGCACGCUUAGGCGUGUGACUGCGUACCUUUUGUAUAAUGGGUCAGCGACUUAUAUUCUGUAGCAAGGUUAACCGAAUAGGGGAGCCGAAGGGAAACCGAGUCUUAACUGGGCGUUAAGUUGCAGGGUAUAGACCCGAAACCCGGUGAUCUAGCCAUGGGCAGGUUGAAGGUUGGGUAACACUAACUGGAGGACCGAACCGACUAAUGUUGAAAAAUUAGCGGAUGACUUGUGGCUGGGGGUGAAAGGCCAAUCAAACCGGGAGAUAGCUGGUUCUCCCCGAAAGCUAUUUAGGUAGCGCCUCGUGAAUUCAUCUCCGGGGGUAGAGCACUGUUUCGGCAAGGGGGUCAUCCCGACUUACCAACCCGAUGCAAACUGCGAAUACCGGAGAAUGUUAUCACGGGAGACACACGGCGGGUGCUAACGUCCGUCGUGAAGAGGGAAACAACCCAGACCGCCAGCUAAGGUCCCAAAGUCAUGGUUAAGUGGGAAACGAUGUGGGAAGGCCCAGACAGCCAGGAUGUUGGCUUAGAAGCAGCCAUCAUUUAAAGAAAGCGUAAUAGCUCACUGGUCGAGUCGGCCUGCGCGGAAGAUGUAACGGGGCUAAACCAUGCACCGAAGCUGCGGCAGCGACGCUGAUGCGUUGUUGGGUAGGGGAGCGUUCUGUAAGCCUGCGAAGGUGUGCUGUGAGGCAUGCUGGAGGUAUCAGAAGUGCGAAUGCUGACAUAAGUAACGAUAAAGCGGGUGAAAAGCCCGCUCGCCGGAAGACCAAGGGUUCCUGUCCAACGUUAAUCGGGGCAGGGUGAGUCGACCCCUAAGGCGAGGCCGAAAGGCGUAGUCGAUGGGAAACAGGUUAAUAUUCCUGUACUUGGUGUUACUGCGAAGGGGGGACGGAGAAGGCUAUGUUGGCCGGGCGACGGUUGUCCCGGUUUAAGCGUGUAGGCUGGUUUUCCAGGCAAAUCCGGAAAAUCAAGGCUGAGGCGUGAUGACGAGGCACUACGGUGCUGAAGCAACAAAUGCCCUGCUUCCAGGAAAAGCCUCUAAGCAUCAGGUAACAUCAAAUCGUACCCCAAACCGACACAGGUGGUCAGGUAGAGAAUACCAAGGCGCUUGAGAGAACUCGGGUGAAGGAACUAGGCAAAAUGGUGCCGUAACUUCGGGAGAAGGCACGCUGAUAUGUAGGUGAAGUCCCUCGCGGAUGGAGCUGAAAUCAGUCGAAGAUACCAGCUGGCUGCAACUGUUUAUUAAAAACACAGCACUGUGCAAACACGAAAGUGGACGUAUACGGUGUGACGCCUGCCCGGUGCCGGAAGGUUAAUUGAUGGGGUUAGCGCAAGCGAAGCUCUUGAUCGAAGCCCCGGUAAACGGCGGCCGUAACUAUAACGGUCCUAAGGUAGCGAAAUUCCUUGUCGGGUAAGUUCCGACCUGCACGAAUGGCGUAAUGAUGGCCAGGCUGUCUCCACCCGAGACUCAGUGAAAUUGAACUCGCUGUGAAGAUGCAGUGUACCCGCGGCAAGACGGAAAGACCCCGUGAACCUUUACUAUAGCUUGACACUGAACAUUGAGCCUUGAUGUGUAGGAUAGGUGGGAGGCUUAGAAGUGUGGACGCCAGUCUGCAUGGAGCCGACCUUGAAAUACCACCCUUUAAUGUUUGAUGUUCUAACGUUGACCCGUAAUCCGGGUUGCGGACAGUGUCUGGUGGGUAGUUUGACUGGGGCGGUCUCCUCCUAAAGAGUAACGGAGGAGCACGAAGGUUGGCUAAUCCUGGUCGGACAUCAGGAGGUUAGUGCAAUGGCAUAAGCCAGCUUGACUGCGAGCGUGACGGCGCGAGCAGGUGCGAAAGCAGGUCAUAGUGAUCCGGUGGUUCUGAAUGGAAGGGCCAUCGCUCAACGGAUAAAAGGUACUCCGGGGAUAACAGGCUGAUACCGCCCAAGAGUUCAUAUCGACGGCGGUGUUUGGCACCUCGAUGUCGGCUCAUCACAUCCUGGGGCUGAAGUAGGUCCCAAGGGUAUGGCUGUUCGCCAUUUAAAGUGGUACGCGAGCUGGGUUUAGAACGUCGUGAGACAGUUCGGUCCCUAUCUGCCGUGGGCGCUGGAGAACUGAGGGGGGCUGCUCCUAGUACGAGAGGACCGGAGUGGACGCAUCACUGGUGUUCGGGUUGUCAUGCCAAUGGCACUGCCCGGUAGCUAAAUGCGGAAGAGAUAAGUGCUGAAAGCAUCUAAGCACGAAACUUGCCCCGAGAUGAGUUCUCCCUGACUCCUUGAGAGUCCUGAAGGAACGUUGAAGACGACGACGUUGAUAGGCCGGGUGUGUAAGCGCAGCGAUGCGUUGAGCUAACCGGUACUAAUGAACCGUGAGGCUUAACCUU
rnacentral:rRNA from 1 species